rnacentral:rRNA from 2 species
GGAGACGCUGGCGGCGUGCCUAAUACAUGCAAGUCGAACGAACUCUGGUAUUGAUUGGUGCUUGCAUCAUGAUUUACAUUUGAGUGAGUGGCGAACUGGUGAGUAACACGUGGGAAACCUGCCCAGAAGCGGGGGAUAACACCUGGAAACAGAUGCUAAUACCGCAUAACAACUUGGACCGCAUGGUCCGAGCUUGAAAGAUGGCUUCGGCUAUCACUUUUGGAUGGUCCCGCGGCGUAUUAGCUAGAUGGUGGGGUAACGGCUCACCAUGGCAAUGAUACGUAGCCGACCUGAGAGGGUAAUCGGCCACAUUGGGACUGAGACACGGCCCAAACUCCUACGGGAGGCAGCAGUAGGGAAUCUUCCACAAUGGACGAAAGUCUGAUGGAGCAACGCCGCGUGAGUGAAGAAGGGUUUCGGCUCGUAAAACUCUGUUGUUAAAGAAGAACAUAUCUGAGAGUAACUGUUCAGGUAUUGACGGUAUUUAAACCAGAAAGCCACGGCUAAACUACGUGCCAGCAGCCGCGGUAAUACGUAGGUGGCAAGCGUUGUCCCGGAUUUAUUGGGCGUAAAGCGAGCGCAGGCGGUUUUUUAAGUCUGAUGUGAAAGCCUUUCGGCUCAACCGAAGAAGUGCAUCGGAAACUGGGAAACUUGAGUGCAGAAGAGGACAGUGGAACUCCAUGUGUAGCGGUGAAAUGCGUAGAUAUAUGGAAGAACACCAGUGGCGAAGGCGGCUGUCUGGUCUGUAACUGACGCUGAGGCUCGAAAGUAUGGGUAGCAAACAGGAUUAGAUACCCUGGUAGUCCAUACCGUAAACGAUGAAUGCUAAGUGUUGGAGGGUUUCCGCCCUUCAGUGCUGCAGCUAACGCAUUAAGCAUUCCGCCUGGGGAGUACGGCCGCAAGGCUGAAACUCAAAGGAAUUGACGGGGGCCCGCACAAGCGGUGGAGCAUGUGGUUUAAUUUCGAAGCUACGCGAAGAACCUUUACCAGGUCUUGACAUACUAUGCAAAUCUAAGAGAUUAGACGUUCCCUUCGGGGACAUGGAUACAGGUGGUGCAUGGUUGUCGUCAGCUCGUGUCGUGAGAUGUUGGGUUAAGUCCCGCAACGAGCGCAACCCUUAUUAUCAGUUGCCAGCAUUAAGUUGGGCACUCUGGUGAGACUGCCGGUGACAAACCGGAGGAAGGUGGGGAUGACGUCAAAUCAUCAUGCCCCUUAUGACCUGGGCUACACACGUGCUACAAUGGAUGGUACAACGAGUUGCGAACUCGCGAGAGUAAGCUAAUCUCUUAAAGCCAUUCUCAGUUCGGAUUGUAGGCUGCAACUCGCCUACAUGAAGUCGGAAUCGCUAGUAAUCGCGGAUCAGCAUGCCGCGGUGAAUACGUUCCCGGGCCUUGUACACACCGCCCGUCACACCAUGAGAGUUUGUAACACCCAAAGUCGGUGGGGUAACCUUUUAGGAACCAGCCGCCUAAGGUGGGACAGAUGAUUAGGGAAGUC